UACGAAGGGGGCUAGCGUUGCUCGGAAUUACUGGGCGUAAAGGGCGCGUAGGCGGAUGUUUAAGUCAGCGGUGAAAGCCCAGGGCUCAACCUUGGAACUGCCAUUGAUACUGGACAUCUUGAGUACGGGAGAGGUGAGUGGAACUCCGAGUGUAGAGGUGAAAUUCGUAGAUAUUCGCAAGAACACCAGUGGCGAAGGCGGCUCACUGGCCCGGUACUGACGCUGAGGUGCGAAAGCGUGGGGAGCAAACAGG
rnacentral:rRNA from 1 species